CUGCACAUUAUGCAACCACACCACGUGAGGAGCAUUAGAUGAUGACCUAUGUGAGCUCAUGCUUGGCUCAAAGCCACUAUUGUCUGUAAAAGGUAUAAUUACCCCGGUAAUGCUGCACAUAUGGCUCACUUGCACCCAGAGAGAGAGUAAAGCCAUGUCAAAACUGUCUACAAUUCCUCGAGUGUUUUUCCUGCUACCUGCCACUCACCCACCAACUCCCCUUGGACCUCAGUUAGAACCUGAGAAUUGGCAUAUCAAAUAGGAUCCUGAGAGUUGGAUGGGCAUUUUUGACUGCACUAGAAGAACUACACUUCCAGUCUCUGAGGGAUGCAGCACGUUGGUUGCAGGUGAGCGGGCAGUUGGCACAAGGGCAAGGUGACCACACCCUGAUUGAGUGGCUAUGGGCAGCCAUACGGACUAUGUGGGACGACACUGGUGAAAUACCUGAAACUAUUUAGAAGUGGUGGCAUCCCUCUUGUGGCGACAUUUGGCAGCAUGCAGUUGGGCCGUCAACAAAUCUAAGGUUAACAUGCUCCAACUGCAUUGUGGACUGGGCCCACACCUAUGCUGAGAUGACCAAUGUUUCCAGCUGUUGGUUCUGUACCACCCUUCCAGCAGCAGCUGUGCCUUGGCACAUGCAUUCAGCAUCUGCAGAGAACUGGACAUGGCUGGAGACUUGGGGUUCCAUAACAAUGCCUGGAACAUGAUGCAGCAAGCUUUGGACAAAGGACACUGCAAGACCCACAGCACGCCUGCCCCCUGGCUGGCCCAUAGUGUUUAUGAUGGGUGGGGCUGGCUCGUGGGGGAACAUGUAGUACCCCCAGCCCAAGCACCGCAGUGCAUAGAGCAACACUGUGGUAACACCACUGUGUGGGAUGGAUACCCAUCGCAGCCUGUGUAAACAUAACACAUGUCAUCACACUGAACAUAUGGUGGAACAAGCAGUCCCACCAAGGUUGGUCCCUGAUGGAUUUUGUGCCCCCUUAGGAGUUUAUGGGUCUGUGAGGACACAGGGUGGCCUUACCUACCAGCAGACGUUGUACCUGGGGGUGACCUUAUGUACCUGCCACUGUUCUCCUCAUGUUGCCCAGAUGCCUGCAUAAAUGGGAGGUGCUAUGCUCUCAGCUUCUGCGAUUGUGAUGAGCCCCCUGGUGGUUCUACCCCUUGACAAUGACUAUCCCUGGAGCAGGUGUCAUAACUGUAGAAGUACAAGUUACUGUUCUUGCACAGCACACCACUCAGGUUCUGAAUUCCACCUGAGUGGCACUCCUCCUGUUAACGGAUGAGGUUGAUUAGAUCAGAAAGGUGGUGUUGCAAAACUAAAUGGCCUUAAACAUAGUAACUGCUGCCUAAGGAGGCACCUGUGCCCUUUUAGGAACACAAUGUUUUACCUUUAUCCCUAACAAUCAGCAGAACAUAAUAGCAGCCCUGCGAGUGGGUCAUGGGAGAUUAAGGCAGUCAAGAGCCUUGCUGAUGAACCCCUGCAGAGAGGGUGGGCAUCCCUAGGCUCUGGCCUAUGCUGGGCCCUAAUAGUCAUGAGUGGCAUAGCUGGGAUCCUAGUAGUGAGCUGUUCCUCUCUGUAUUGUUGUUGUGAGUUAUGGAUUCAGGACUCUGCCCUAUGGGUAUGUGUUCCUGCCCAGAGGGUGCCCCUGGCCUAGAGCGUGGAAAGUAAGGGAAAUGGCUGUGCUUUAGUCAGGAGUAGGCUGGGGUAGACUUCCAGCGCAGCAUGACUCAGCAGGUUUGGAGUGCAGGUGCACAACCCCGCACAUUUAUGUAACCAUGUCACGUGAGUCACAUUAGGUGAUCAACCACAUGAGCUCGUGCUUGGCUUGGAGCCACUAUUGUCUGUAAAAGGUAUAAUUACCCUGCUAAUGCUCUACAUAUGGCUUGCUCAUGCCCAGAGAGAGAGUAAAGCCAUGUUGAAACUGUCUACAAUUCCUUGAGUGUUUUUCCAGCUACCCGCCACUCACCCACUGACUCCCCUCGGACCUCAGUUAGAACCUGACAAUAGCUUUUAAAGAUAUAAUGAGAUUGCAUACUUAAUAGACUACAGUAUAGAAUAAAGAUAACUUUUAUAUGCAUUGGGAAAACAAAACAAAUCCUAUGGUUCACUUUAUUGCAACAUUUGCUUCACUGGGGUGGUCUGAAACCGAACCUGCAGUAUCUCUGAGGUAUGCCUGUAUAUGCCCUCACAGCAACCAAUAUGUACUACAUAUUAUAGCAUUUGUCAUAUAUAGUUACAACUGACUGCUUCUCUGUCUCCAUUAUCAUACUUGAUGUCCCUGGAUUGUAAGAGCUAUAUAUUUCCCCAGCAGUUUUCCUAUUGUACAUUACAGUGAAAUUUUACUGUACAAAUAAAUGAAUAACUACAUAUAAAGGUCUUUUUUCAAUGCCUAGGAAAGAGUAGGGGGUCAAUAUAUUUCAAUUCUUUAUCAAUUUUCUCAGUCUGUAGUGAAGAUGAUGGUGUUACAAUCUCCUAGUAGAGUUCCCUCUGCUUUUUAUUUUGACCUUUUGCAUGAAGUACCAGGCCAUUAGGUGAAUCUUUUUUACUUAGAUCUAAGCCAAUUUUUACUGCUGAGUUUCAGAACCCAAACCCCAAUAAUCUCCUCAUAAUAGGAGAUUAAGUCCCGAUUUCCAUUUCUGGGCCUUCUUUUAAAAAGUGAACACUAGAGAAAAACGUCCAUAACAAUAGUUCAAGACACAUUCUUCAGACACCACAAUGCCAUGAUGAUGUGGGUAAAUGAGAUUCUUCCAAUAAACAUGCUCAUGGCUAGAUAUUUGUUAAAUUUAAAAUAUUUUCCAGGCUGGGUGCAGUGGCUCAUUGUUGCAAUCUCAGCACUUUGGGAGGCUGAGGCAGGCAAAUUGCUUGAGCUCAGGAGUCUGAGACUAGCCUGGCUAACAUGGUGAGACCCUGUCUCUACAAAAAAUACAAAAAUUAGCUGGGCAUCAUGGUGCAUGCCUGCAGUCCCAGCUAUGUGGGAGGCAGAGGUAGGAAGAUUACCUGAGCCUGGGAGGUCGAGGCUGCAGUGAGCCAUGAUUGCACCAUUGCACUCCAGCCUGGGAGACAGAUCCACUUAAAGAUCCACUAACUUGCAGAGGUUUUCCAUAAAGAUACAUGAUAUCUGGUAUUUCACACCUAUUCAUAACUAGAAUAUGAGUCUGUAUCUUUCAGUGUUUCUUUUUUUCCUUUUGAGACAGGAUCUCACUCUUUUACCCAGGCUGGAGUGCAGUGGCAUGAUCUGGGUUCGCUGCAACCUUAACUUCUCCAGG
rnacentral:lncRNA from 1 species